CCUACGGGUGGCAGCAGUGGGGAAUAUUGCACAAUGGGGGAAACCCUGAUGCAGCGACGCCGCGUGGGGGAUGAAGGAACUCGGUAUGUAAAGCUCUUUCAGCAGGGAAGAAAAUGACGGUACGUGAAAAAGAAGCCCCGGCUAACUACGUGCCAGCAGCCGCGGUAAUACGGAGGGGGCAAGCGUUAUCCGGAUUUACUGGGUGUAAAGGGAGCGUAGACGGCAGUGCAAGUCUGGCUGGAAAGCCGGGGGCUCAACCCCCGGACUGCUCUGUGAACUGGCUGGCUUGAGUGCAGGAGGGGCAGGUGGAAUUCCUGGUGGAGCGGUGAAAUGCGUAGAUAUUAGGAGGAACCCCAGUGGCGAAGGCGGCCUCCUGGACUGCAACUGACGUUGAGGCUCGAAAGCGUGGGGAGCAAACAGGAUUAGAUACCCUGGUAGUC
rnacentral:rRNA from 1 species